rnacentral:tRNA from 1 species
CGGAGCGUAGCUCAGCUUGGAUAGAGUGCCGCGUUCGGGACGCGGAGGUCGCUGGUUCAAAUCCAGUCGCUCCGA